CCGCUGACGAGUGGCGAACGGGUGAGUAAUAUAUCGGAACGUACCAUUCAGUGGGGGAUAACGUAGCGAAAGUUACGCUAAUACCGCAUAUUCUGUGAGCAGGAAAGCAGGGGAUCGCAAGACCUUGCGCUGAUUGAGCGGCCGAUAUCAGAUUAGCUUGUUGGUGAGGUAAAAGCUCACCAAGGCGACGAUCUGUAGCGGGUCUGAGAGGAUGAUCCGCCACACUGGAACUGAGACACGGUCCAGACUCCUACGGGAGGCAGCAGUGGGGAAUUUUGGACAAUGGGGGCAACCCUGAUCCAGCCAUGCCGCGUGAGUGAAGAAGGCCUUCGGGUUGUAAAGCUCUUUCAGCCGGGAAGAAAACGCAUGGGUUAAUACCCUGUGUGGAUGACGGUACCGGAAUAAGAAGCACCGGCUAACUACGUGCCAGCAGCCGCGGUAAUACGUAGGGUGCGAGCGUUAAUCGGAAUUACUGGGCGUAAAGCGUGCGCAGGCGGUUUUGUAAGACAGGCGUGAAAUCCCCGGGCUUAACCUGGGAACUGCGUUUGUGACUGCAAGGCUAGAGUACGGCAGAGGGGGGUGGAAUUCCACGUGUAGCAGUGAAAUGCGUAGAGAUGUGGAGAACACCAAUGGCGAAGGCAGCCCCCUGGGUCGAUACUGACGCUCAUGCACGAAAGCGUGGGUAGCAAACAGGAUUAGAUACCCUGGUAGUCCACGCCCUAAACGAUGUCAACUAGGUGUUGGGAGGGUAAAACCUUUUAGUACCGGAGCUAACGCGUGAAGUUGACCGCCUGGGGAGUACGGCCGCAAGGUUAAAACUCAAAGGAAUUGACGGGGACCCGCACAAGCGGUGGAUGAUGUGGAUUAAUUCGAUGCAACGCGAAAAACCUUACCUACCCUUGACAUGCCAAGAACUUUCCAGAGAUGGAUUGGUGCCCGAAAGGGAACUUGGACGCAGGUGCUGCAUGGCUGUCGUCAGCUCGUGUCGUGAGAUGUUGGGUUAAGUCCCGCAACGAGCGCAACCCUUGUCGUUAAUUGCCAUCAUUUAGUUGGGCACUUUAACGAGACUGCCGGUGACAAACCGGAGGAAGGUGGGGAUGACGUCAAGUCCUCAUGGCCCUUAUGGGUAGGGCUUCACACGUCAUACAAUGGUCGGUACAAAGGGUCGCCAAGCCGCGAGGUGGAGCCAAUCCCAGAAAGCCGAUCGUAGUCCGGAUCGCAGUCUGCAACUCGACUGCGUGAAGUCGGAAUCGCUAGUAAUCGUGGAUCAGAAUGUCACGGUGAAUACGUUCCCGGGUCUUGUACACACCGCCCGUCACACCAUGGGAGCGGGUUCCGCCAGAAGUAGGUAGCCUAACCGCAAGGAGGGCGCUUACCACGGCGGGGUUCGUGACUGGGGUGAAGUCGAAACAAGGUA
rnacentral:rRNA from 1 species